rnacentral:lncRNA from 1 species
GCUCCCACUACCCCACUAUUGAUCUUCAACCAGAGUCCCCACAGUUGUGUGGAUUUUACAUAUUGGACAUUUGUAUAAGAUUUUAAUGGUUACAAAGAUUUGACAGCUAAGAAUUUUUUGAAAAGCCACAAAAACAGAUCAUCCCCAAGGUCCCUCAUAGUCCCAUGAGACGAAGAGGAAGGAAGAGCUUUUGGGAUAUGAUACUACUCAGAGGUUUAAGCCAUGGGCAGGAGAUGCUGACCUUCAAAUUCUAAAUUCAGCUUGUUGGCAUAUUAUGUAAUAGUCCACCUGUUUUGCUUUUCCCAUCUGGACAGCAGAAGUAGUACAUAACUGGGUUCUCUAAAACGUAUGGUAGUUAUGGCAAUAUACACUAUUUGAAAAAGAAAUGGUGGCCUAGCUAGCUUAUUUCAGUUUUCGCCUUACUAAAAACUCACAGACGUAGAUUCCACCAAGGAAGCUGAAAGAUUUUCAUAUGGUCAAAAUACCCACGGAAUAUAUGAGUGGCAGCAGUAAACAGUCCUUGAAGUUCUUGGUUGUUUAACUUGACUGUUGGUGAUGCCCAGUGAGGCCCUGUCUGCUCCAAGCAAAUUACAUAAAAAAGAUGUGAAUAAAAACUCAUCAAAUACUAACAGAGGGGUAUGUGAUCUGUAUACUUACAAUGAACUUUUCAAGACACAGGCUACAAAAUGCACUGGCUAAGAAAUGACUAGGAACCAAGGGCAGAAUGGGGAUAAAGUGAAUUCCAGCAAAAUGCUGUCCCUUCAAUAAGUCUGACUGGAAGGCCCAAGUGGCCAACUGGAACACCUCCAUGGGAUACAGUAAGUAUGGGGCUUUGGGAAAACACACACACACACACACACACACACACACACACGGCCUACUUUAGCACAGACCCAGCCAUUUGUGAAUCAAGAUUUCUUGGGGGAGAUUUCUGAG